rnacentral:rRNA from 1 species
GUGGGUAGUUUGACUGGGGCGGUCUCCUCCCAAAGCGUAACGGAGGAGCACGAAGGUUAGCUAAUCCUGGUCGGACAUCAGGAGGUUAGUGCAAUGGCAUAAGCUAGCUUGACUGCGAGCGUGACGGCGCGAGCAGGUGCGAAAGCAGGUCAUAGUGAUCCGGUGGUUCUGAAUGGAAGGGCCAUCGCUCAACGGAUAAAAGGUACUCCGGGGAUAACAGGCUGAUACCGCCCAAGAGUUCAUAUCGACGGCGGUGUUUGGCACCUCGAUGUCGGCUCAUCACAUCCUGGGGCUGAAGUAGGUCCCAAGGGUAUGGCUGUUCGCCAUUUAAAGUGGUACGCGAGCUGGGUUUAGAACGUCGUGAGACAGUUCGGUCCCUAUCUGCCGUGGGCGCUGGAGAAUUGAGGGGGGCUGCUCCUAGUACGAGAGGACCGGAGUGGACGCAUCACUGGUGUU